rnacentral:rRNA from 1 species
AGUGAACGCUGGCGGUAGGCCUAACACAUGCAAGUCGAACGGCAGCACAGUAAGAUCUUGCUCUUACGGGUGGCGAGUGGCGGACGGGUGAGGAAUACAUCGGAAUCUACUUUUUCGUGGGGGAUAACGUAGGUAAACGUACGCUAAUACCGCAUACGACCUACGGGUGAAAGCAUGGGAUCUUCGGACCUUGCGCGAUUGAAUGAGCCGAUGUCGGAUUAGCUAGUUGGCGGGGUAAAGGCCCACCAAGGCGACGAUCCGUAGCUGGUCUGAGAGGAUGAUAAGCCACACUGGAACUGAGACACGGUCCAGACUCCUACGGGAGGCAGCAGUGGGGAAUAUUGGACAAUGGGCGAAAGCUUGAUACAGCCAUACCGCGUGGGUGAAGAAGGCCUUCGGGUUGUAAAGCCCUUUUGUUGGGAAAGAAAAGCAGCAGGUUAAUACCCCGCUGUUCUGACGGUACCCAAAGAAUAAGCACCGGCUAACUUCGUG